rnacentral:rRNA from 1 species
ACGCUCGACACCUACGGGAGGCAGCAGUGGGGAAUAUUGCACAAUGGGGGAAACCCUGAUGCAGCGACGCCGCGUGGAGGAAGAAGGUCUUCGGACUGUAAACUCCUGUUGUUGGGGAAAAAGAGGAUGGUACCCAACAAGGAAGUGACGGCUAACUACGUGCCUGCAGCCGCGGUAAUCUGAGCGGGCUGGCAAGGC